rnacentral:snoRNA from 1 species
AGUUUGUGAAGUAUGUUUCUUAAGAAAAAUCUCUGAACAUAUGAACUCCAUAGUGAUUUCAGUGCAUUACUGAGGGAAGCU